GAAAUGCGAUACGUAAUGUGAAUUGCAGAAUUCAGUGAAUCAUCGAGUCUUUGAACGCACAUUGCGCCCUCUGGUAUUCCGGGGGGCAUGCCUGUCCGAGCGUCAUUGCUGCCCUCAAGCACGGCUUGUGUGUUGGGCCCCCCCCGUCCCGGGUCUCCAGCCAGGGCGGGCCCGAAAGGCAGCGGCGGCCCCCUGUCCGGGCGUCAUGGCUGCCCUCAAGCACGGCUUGUGUGUUGGGCCCCCCCCGUCCCGGUUCUCCAGCCAGGACGGGCCCGAAAGGCAGCGGCGGCACCGUGUCCGGUCCUCGAGUGUAUGGGGCUCUGUCACCCACUCGUGUAGGCCCGGCCGGCGGCCAGCCUCUUCAACCAAACUUCUUUAACCAGGUUGACCUCGGAUCAGGUAGGGAUACCCGCUGAACUUAA
rnacentral:misc_RNA from 1 species